CGGAGGGAGCUAGCGUUGUUCGGAAUUACUGGGCGUAAAGCGCGCGUAGGCGGCUGUUCAAGUCAGAGGUGAAAGCCCGGGGCUCAACCCCGGAACUGCCUUUGAAACUAGAUAGCUAGAAUCUUGGAGAGGCGAGUGGAAUUCCGAGUGUAGAGGUGAAAUUCGUAGAUAUUCGGAAGAACACCAGUGGCGAAGGCGACUCGCUGGACAAGUAUUGACGCUGAGGUGCGAAAGCGUGGGGAGCAAACAGGAUU
rnacentral:rRNA from 1 species